rnacentral:rRNA from 1 species
UACAGAGGUCUCAAGCGUUGUUCGGAUUCAUUGGGCGUAAAGGGUGCGUAGGUGGCGCCGUAAGUCGGGUGUGAAAUUUCGGAGCUUAACUCCGAAACUGCAUUCGAUACUGCGGUGCUUGAGGACUGGAGAGGAGACUGGAAUUCAUGGUGUAGCAGUGAAAUGCGUAGAGAUCAUGAGGAAGACCAGUGGCGAAGGCGGGUCUCUGGACAGUACCUGACGCUGAGGCACGAAGGCCAGGGGAGCAAACGGG